AGAUUGAACGCUGGCGGCAGGCCUAACACAUGCAAGUCGAGCGGUAGAGAGGUGCUUGCAUCUCUUGAGAGCGGCGGACGGGUGAGUAAUGCCUAGGAAUCUGCCUAGUGGUGGGGGAUAACGUUCGGAAACGGACGCUAAUACCGCAUACGUCCUACGGGAGAAAGCGGGGGACCUUCGGGCCUCGCGCCAUUAGAUGAGCCUAGGUCGGAUUAGCUAGUUGGUGAGGUAAUGGCUCACCAAGGCGACGAUCCGUAACUGGUCUGAGAGGAUGAUCAGUCACACUGGAACUGAGACACGGUCCAGACUCCUACGGGAGGCAGCAGUGGGAAUAUUGGACAAUGGGCGAAAGCCUGAUCCAGCCAUGCCGCGUGUGUGAAGAAGGUCUUCGGAUUGUAAAGCACUUUAAGUUGGAGGAAGGUUGUAACCUAAGUACGUUGCAACUUUGACGUUACGACAGAAUAAGCACGGCUAACUUCGCGCCAGCAGCCGA
rnacentral:rRNA from 1 species